rnacentral:ncRNA from 1 species
AUAAAGUUUUAUCUUAGCUUAGCGUAAGCUGGAAUUUUUAUUUAAAUAUGUGAGGUUAUAGAGUAAUUUAGGUAUUAAUUAAAAUUUUUAUAUGUUUUGAUGAUGAAAAAGAAAAAAUUUAAUGGUUGGUUCAACUUGUGCCAGCAACUGCGGUUAGACAAGUGAUUAAAGUUUAUGGUUUAAAAGAUUUAAAUUGUUUGUGGUGAAAAUUAUUUGUAAAUUUAAGGUGAAAUUUAAUUUAUAAUAGAUAAUAGUAAUGUGAGAUUUUUUUAAUAAGUUUGGUUUAUUAGACUAGGAUUAGAUACCCUAUUAUUUGUAAUGAAGUGUGAUUUUGAGUAGUAUAUGAUAAAUUCAGGAAACUUAAAAGAUUUGGCGGUAUUUGUUCAGUUCAGAGGAAUAUGUUUUAAUAAUUCGAUAAUCCCCGAGAAUCUUACUAAUUACUAUUACUUUGUAUAUCUCCGUCUAAAAGGAUUUUUUAUAAAUUUAUCUUAGAAUUUUUAGGAGAAGGGAAGUCAGGUCAAGAUGCAGGUUUAAUUAGUUAAAAUGUAUUACAAUUAAGAUAUUAUUGAAUGUAGAUCUGAAAAUGGUUUAUUGAAAUUGGAUUUGAAGGUAAAUUGAUUGAUUUUAAUUAGUUGAUUUUGGUUCAUGAGUAUGUACAUAUUGCCCGUCACUCUCUUGUCUAUAAGAGAUAAGUCGUAACAAAGUAGAUUUACUGGAAAGUGAAUCUGGUUUACA